AUUAUAUUUCAGAUUUAUAUAUUUCUUGAGUCUGGUUCCCAUGAAACUACAUGUCUUGAGAAAGAGUAAUUAGCGUAAUUAACUUAAUGAUAUACCACUGUCAUCACCAACAUUCAAAUCCGAGAACCUUGGCUCAAAGUGGUUACCAAAUUUGGUAUUCACCUAUUUUUUUUUUUUUAAAUCAAAAUAUAUACAUGUGAACAAAAAUAAAAAGUAAAAUUAUAAAUCGACAAGUGGAAGUGGCGAGGAAAACAUUUCAAAUAGCACAUUUAAAAAACAAAACUGUACAUUAAAAACAAGUACAGUUAUGAAGUUCAAGUUGAUUUAAAUUGUUUACAUCUUACAGAUCGAAACUGUUAGUGAUAUAAACGUGGGCCUAAACUAUAGCCUAGAAGUGAGUUCACCCUUACGUAACAGGCAUAGAGGCACACAUUUUAAUCAGUCUACAGAACUUAACUUUGAGUUCUUGGGGGUUUUUUGGGGGGGGGUUUUUUGG